rnacentral:rRNA from 1 species
AACUUUGAAGACUGAAGUGGAGAAGGGUUCCGCGGGAACAGCGUUUGGCCGCGGGUGAGUCGAUCCUAAGGAUUAGGGUAGCGCCGUAGCAUCCUCAUCGAAAGGGAAAAGGGUUAAUAUUCCCUUACCUUGGAGGGAUCCGAAGGCGGCAACGCAAGCGAGCUCGCAGACGCUCGCCUUGAUCCCGGGAGGAGGUCUCUACUCCUCUUGAUGCUUGUGGGGGCUUGGAGCAGGGUCAACUGGAGAAGGGGCUCCACAAGCGGCACAGCCCUGUUCGAAACACGGGGUCCGGUGCAUCAGGGCGGGCCCAUGAAAAUGCGAGGGAGCGACAAGGAUGCACCUCCCAAGGUCGUACCCAUAACCGCAUCAGGUCUCCAAGG